ensembl:lncRNA
GGUACACACACACACAGACACACACACACACACACACACACACCCCUGGGGCUGCUCGAUGUUUCCCUCCUCUGUCUUCCCUUGUCUUUCCUGUGCAGCAGAAGCCUGAUGCCUGGGUCAGGCGACACUGCGCCUUUCAUUCCCCACGGAGAUCUUGGACCUGGAGUUUCCAAGUUUCGAAGAGAUGCGGUUGUCGACGGCUCCCCUAGAAUCUCUGAUGGCUCUGAAGGGGGACAAAGGUCUAGGGCAGAGGGAUGGUGCGGAAGGACCCAGCCACGGCCAUUGGAAGAGCAGUUUCCUGCAGUGUAAAGCUGUUUACCACCUGCACAGCUUUGGCUCUCUGCCAGGACGAACCACAUCCGCCCCAUUCACGGUCUUUAUUCCAGCUCAUUUCCCUCUGCGAAUCACACUGGGUAGGUCGCUGGGGCCCUCGGUAAUUACGGAUCAUGGCACAGCCAAGAAAAAUACAGGUUUUCGUAAGCCUGAAGCCACUGACUUGAGCGGAGAGAGUAGGAGUAAUGCCAGCAGUAGUUUUGUGUUCCGUUUUCGUUUUUAUGUUCUAGUCACUAGGCCACAAGAGAAUGUUCCACCCAGUGCCAGUCGAUCUGUCACGGCGCCCCACCUUUCCCUGAACGGAGGGUUUGUGGCUGACAUCUCCAGUUUCUCAGAGCCUGGGAGUGAUCGCUGGCUGCACCGUUGAUGGCGCCAAAAAGAACGGGCAUUUGUCUUUGGCAACAGCGCUGGCUUUCGCCUCGUGCCCGCGCUUGAGAGGUCCUAGCGCCGCCAGAUUCUCACACUAGCGGGUCCAGCGCCCAGCGCUGCUCCUCCCACCAAUCAUCGGUUUCUCAUACUCACUUCAUUGGCAGCACUGAGCGGUCAGUUUUCUGGUGGCGGCGACGCUAGUUGGUCUGAAUGAAACGUUUCCCUUCUCUCUCCGUGUGUCCCAUUCUCCAUCCCACGUCCUCCAGUGCCGGGGUCAUGGUCGCAGCACCCGGCGUUCAUGUUGACUCUUUUGCCAGCUGCGUGGAGCCGGCAGUCUUUCUGUCACAGCACUUGUACAGACUUUCUCGGCUGCCGAACGUCUCUUUUUUCCUCAGAGACGACGGUUUCUUGGUGACAGUGCCGUUGGCUGAGACGUAACGAAUGUUCUCCUUGACAACCCCACAGGCUGGCGUCCCUCGCAGGCUCCAGACGCAGCCAUGUCGCCAAGCUGAGAUCUCUUGGUUGCGGCACUGCUCCUGGCUCGGUGCCUGCAUUUUCUCGGUGGCUACAGCGCUCAGGUCGUCGAUCUGAGGGCUUCGGAGUACCGGCCAGGCGCGGUGGCUCACGCCUGUAAUCCCAGCACUUUGGGAGGCCGAGGCGGGCGGAUCACGAGGUCAGGAGAUCGAGACCAUCCUGGCUAACAAGGUGAAACCCUGUCUCUACUAAAAAUACAAAAAAAUUAGCCGGAUGUGGUGGCGGGCGCCUGUAGUCCCAGCUACUCGGGAGGCUGAGGCAGGAGAAUGGUGGAAACCCUGGAGGCGGAGCUUGCAGUGAGCCGAGAUCGCGCUACUGCACUCCAGCCUGGGUGACAGAGCAAGACUCCAUCUCAAAAAAAAAAAAAAA